UGGCGGCGUGGAUAAGACAUGCAAGUCGAACGGGAGAAUUGCUAGCUUGCUAAUAAUUCUCUAGUGGCGCACGGGUGAGUAACACGUGAGUAACCUGCCCCCAAGAGUGGGAUAGCCCCGGGAAACUGGGAUUAAUACCGCAUAAAAUCGCAAGAUUAAAGCAGCAAUGCGCUUGGGGAUGGGCUCGCGUCCUAUUAGUUAGUUGGUGAGGUAACGGCUCACCAAGGCGAUGACGGGUAGCCGGUCUGAGAGGAUGUCCGGCCACACUGGAACUGAGACACGGUCCAGACACCUACGGGUGGCAGCAGUCGAGAAUCAUUCACAAUGGGGGAAACCCUGAUGGUGCGACGCCGCGUGGGGGAAUGAAGGUCUUCGGAUUGUAAACCCCUGUCAUGUGGGAGCAAAUUAAAAAGAUAGUACCACAAGAGGAAGAGACGGCUAACUCUGUGCCAGCAGCCGCGGUAAUACAGAGGUCUCAAGCGUUGUUCGGAAUCACUGGGCGUAAAGCGUGCGUAGGCGGUUUCGUAAGUCGUGUGUGAAAGGCGGGGGCUCAACCCCCGGACUGCACAUGAUACUGCGAGACUAGAGUAAUGGAGGGGGAACCGGAAUUCUCGGUGUAGCA
rnacentral:rRNA from 1 species